rnacentral:rRNA from 1 species
AACGAACGCUGGCGGCAUGCCUAACACAUGCAAGUCGAACGAGACCUUCGGGUCUAGUGGCGCACGGGUGCGUAACGCGUGGGAACCUGCCUUUAGGUUCGGAAUAACUCAGAGAAAUUUGAGCUAAUACCGGAUAAUGUCUUCGGACCAAAGAUUUAUCGCCUUUAGAUGGGCCCGCGUUGGAUUAGCUAGUUGGUGGGGUAAAGGCCUACCAAGGCGACGAUCCAUAGCUGGUCUGAGAGGAUGAUCAGCCACACUGGGACUGAGACACGGCCCAGACUCCUACGGAGGCAGCAGUGGGAAUAUUGGACAAUGGGCGAAAGCCUGAUCCAGCAAUGCCGCGUGAGUGAUGAAGGCCUUAGGGUUGUAAAGCUCUUUACCCGAGAUGAUAAUGACAGUAUCGGGAGAAUAAGCUCCGGCUAACUCCGUNCCAGCAGCCGCGGUAAUGUGACUACUG